CGCGGGAGGCAGAAGGGGCUCGGAGCGUGGGCCCCAGCCUGUGGCCUCCGGGACCUCGUGUCCGCGACGGGGCGGCCGGAGAGUCUCGGGGAACAGAGGGGGCACCUGGGUGCCUUGGACCCCUCCACGUCGCAGGCCCUGACCCCGCAGCUCCUUCCCCGGCUCUUCCCGCUCUUCCCUGCCGGCGGGGAGGCCUCGUCCCGCCCCGCUAGCGUGGCGGCGCCGGGACCUUCCGGCCGCCCGACACGGGUGACACUGCGCGGCCCGGCCGGGCGCUGCACGGGGAGCGCCGGUUAUUUUUAGCCCCGCUGUUCGGGCGGGUUCAAGAAUUUAGUCAACAAAGUUGCUGGCACCUCCGUGCGGCGGGAUCCACCGCGGACGCCCGGCUCCAGGGGCGCGCGGCGCAGGGCUCGGUGAGGAGGAAAAGGAGCCGCCGGUGUGCCUGGAGCAGGGCAGAGAUCCCUGACACCGCCCCUCCAGGGUCAACGGAGAUGGAGGGACCCCACCUUGCCGCGGCAUGACCCAGAGUGGCUCCCCCCUACAAAAUUCUCUAUAUGUCAUACGACUUUUACAAUUAAAGAAUUCAAUCUUAAAUGUACCCUACUAUGCAUAGGAAGAAAAGUCUGGAAGGACAUGGACAGGAAGUCACCAGGGGCAACCUAGCCAUGUGCUGGGGGCAACUAUCUAAGGGCUUUUACCUUGUUCCUGUCAUGAAUGUUUAUUAUUUUAUAAUAAAAAUGACAUACACCUGGCAGUGAAAUCCCACUUCCUAAGAUGUCAUAGGGGUGGCCUGGCCCCAAUGUGCUAGGCAGGUGCCCCUCGCCCCUUCUCCCUGGCGUGCACAUUCCUCGGGGUGGGGCUGGGCUGGGCCUCCCCUGUAAGGCCAGGCCCCUCCCCUGUAAUGCCAGGCCAGGCAAAGCAUGAGGACCAUCCUCCGGCUGAGAUGGCUGAGCAGGAGGCAGAACCAAGGCCCUCGGCCAGGUGUUUGCGCUCCAGGCCACAUGGGUUGCUGGAUGUGUUUCCGGGCUUGGGGCUCCCUUUAGAGCUCCCAGGG
rnacentral:lncRNA from 1 species